ensembl:lncRNA
AUGCCCUGUCAUGUCCUGCCCCAAACUCUUUCUGCUGUGAUGUUUCUGAUCAGGUCUGAUUUUGUUUCUGGCUGUGUGUUGCAGGAUGUUCACCUCUUCUGUCUACGGUCCUGUUUUCUUUUGCAUCAGUUUGCUGAGUGCAUACUCGGUGCGUCCCACCACUGGCACAAGAAGAAGAGCCGUAAACAAGACAUCCUGAAUAAGCUUUGCUGUCAAUGUGGGUUUGUGGAAACAGAUGACCUACAAUGGAUUGCCUGCAAUAGUUGCAACAAGUGGUUCCAUCAGGGAUGCGUCAACUCUCCAGCAGUGGACAAAGAAUAGGAAUGUGUUGUGUGCAUUGUCUAAAGUGUUUUCAUUAUUUUAUUUUUAUUUCAUUGUGUUGAAAUGCCCUUUUUUAUACUUUUAUUUAUAUUUUUUGCUGUAUGUUCAAUUGAUCUUUUUAAAACUGUACAUAGUUCCAUGUUGACUUUUUAUUAAAUUAUUUGAAUUAAAUUGCUUUUGCCUAAUUAAUUACUGUAGCAUAAAUUGUUUUACUUAUUAUAUGUAUGUGCGAAUUAUAUUUGACCCAUAUUACAUGUUUGAUUUAAAUAUUAAAAUGUAAUAGAUCUGACAAUUUUUUUCAAAACACAUAACUUUAUCUGGCA